ACCAGUGUGUUGCAGUGGUUUGAGUGCUGGACUUUGACCCUAGAGACCAGGGUUCGAAUCCCUGCUCAGCCA